rfam:Hordeum vulgare subsp. vulgare, WGS project CAJW01000000 data, contig: morex_contig_136433
GUUGUACUCCCUCCGUCCCAAAAUAAGUGACUCAACAUUGUACUAACUUUAGUAACUUUGUGCUAAAGUUAGUACAAAGUUGAGUCACUUGUUUUGGGACGGAGGGAGUAUAUA